GACGUAGGGCGCGAGCGUUGUCCGGAUUUAUUGGGCGUAAAGAGCUCGUAGGCGGCUUGUCGCGUCGACUGUGAAAUCCCGCGGCUCAACUGCGGGUCUGCAGUCGAUACGGGCAGGCUAGAGUUCGGUAGGGGAGACUGGAAUUCCUGGUGUAGCGGUGAAAUGUGUAGAGAUCGGGAGGAACACCCGUAGCGAAGGCGGCCGACUGGACCACACCUGACGCUGAGGCGCGAAGGCCAGGGGAGCGAACGGG
rnacentral:rRNA from 1 species